rnacentral:lncRNA from 1 species
AAUGUUUUAAAUUUGUUUCACUUCCUUCUUCCACCAAUCUUCCAAAAUCCCUAACCUAUAUCGUGCCGUCCUCCCUUUUUUUCCCAAUUCCAAAAUACCGAUCCACCUCCACCGAUCCACCUCCGAUCCUCCACCCAAUUUAAGGUAAAUGGAGCUCUAUUUUGAAAAUAAUUUUGUCAAAAUAAACCAUUCACAAUCGUUGUAUUUUGUUUAAUUUUUGCGUCUGAAUCUUUUAAGAAAUCAUUAACAAUGGAUCCCUUGAUGAUUCCCUUCCAUUUUCUGUCUGUUUGUUUCUGGUUAAUCCGGGUAACUUCAUUUUCUGUUUGGCUGUUUGUUUCUAGUUAAUCCGGGUAACUUCAUUUUCUUCUUCUUCUUCCAUUUUCUGUUUGUUUCUGUAUGUAUUUUGCUUAAUGUUUACUAAUUAGUAAUUACAUUGAUCUCUUUUACUGGAAUUUGGUGCGAGUACCAGAUGCGGAUAUUUUUCCGAAUUCUUUUUUUGAGUUUCUGUUUCUGUUUGUAUUAAUGCGAGUACCAUAUUUCUGCUUAAUGUUUGUUUCUAACUUUCUGUGUGUUUCUUUUUUUAACAUAGACUUCAAUAAUUAAUGGAUUUGGCAACAUGUGGUAGUGUUUUUCUUAAGAUGUUGAUUUGGUAUUUCAUUUCCUAUAUAUAUAAAAUCAUCCAUUAAGUAAAAAAAAAUAAUUGAUAGAAAUAUGUAGGAAAUUCUUAUCUAAUAUUGUUGAAAAAGUAACUUAGUUAAUUUCAGAAUAAAUUGAAUAGUUUAAUUCUUAUACUAUUAAAAAAAUAAGUAGACAAGAGCGAUUCAUGAUAAUGUUAACUAUUUGCAUUAUAUGUUAACUAUAGACCUGUCCAUGGGCCGGGCGGCCCGGCCCGACAGCCCGCCCGAAAUAUGAGAGGGUUCAGGUAAAAAUAUAGGCCCAAAAUAUGGGCUUGGGCAAAAAAAGAGACCCGUUUAAAAAAUAGACCGGGCUCGGGCUCAAUUUUUUUGGCCCGGGCCCGGCCCGAAUAUAAUAAAUAUAUAUUUUUAUUUUUUAUUUUUUAAUUUUAAAAUACUUUAAAAAUAUUUUUUUAUUUUUAAAAUAUUUUUUGUGUUUAUUAAAAAUUGGGCCGGGCUGGGCCUGGGUAAAAUUUUAAACCCAUAUUUCGGGCCGGGCCGAGCCUGGGCCUAAGAGUCGGGCCAAAAUUUUUUUCUGGGCCUGGCCCGGCUCGGCCCAUGGACAGGUCUAAUUAACUAUAGCACUAUUUAGUUGUUAGAGACUUGUUUGAAAAGUCGUUCCUUUCACACUUUGCAUUAAUUAAUAUAUAAAAUGUGUUGGCCAAAAAUUAUAUACAAAAAAUUGUUCUUAAUUUUUUUUAAGUAAACAAACAAUACAGACUAUUUUUUUUAGUGAUACACUUAACAACUAGAUUUAUUUAAGAGUUAAUUGGUAUAACUUGUUAAUCCGGGUAACUACAUUUUCUUCUUCUUCUUCUUCCAUUUUCUGUUUGUUUCUGUCUGUAUUUUGCUUAAUGUUUACUAAUUACAUUGAUCUCUUUUACUGGAAUUUAGUGCGAGUACCAGAUACGGAUAUUUUGCCGAAUUCUUUUUUUAAGUUUGUUUGUAUUUUGCUUAAUGUUUGAUUCUGUCUGUUUCUUUUUUUAACAUAGACUUCAAUAGUGGCAUUAGGCUAGAUCGUUUUAGAUGAUCUGUUAUGUAUGUUACUUGCAGUUUCUAGUUAUUUUUAAUUGAAAAGAGUUUAGCUGAGGAGUAGGAAGUAGGCAGCACUUAUUUGAUGAGGGGUGUUAUAAAAUACUUGAGUCAUAUUAUGACAGUAUACUUGUGCAAGCUCUAAUAUAGUGGCUGGAGUUGAUAUUGUCAUAUCACAAUGAAGUUCUCAGAAUUUUGAAAUUGCAUGGGAUUCGAGUUUAAUGAAUUUAUUUUAAUGUUUAUUGAGAUCACAAGCUUAGUUUCUUCAUUUAAUCUCAUCUUUUUUUUCUUUUUCUUUUUUGCUUUGUUUUAUUGCAGAAACAAGCAACAUUGAAAUUGAUUUGGCUUACCUUAGCUUCCUUUCCCGUAAGCUUUCAUUUACAUUUUCCUUUUAGAAUUUAAUUUAAUUUGAUUUUCUUUUAUUUUACUUUGUAAAACAUUUUGCAAUUAAAUGCAGGAUUAGCCGAUUUUCUAGAUGAUAAUUUGUGUCCUUAUCUCAAAAUAUUGUUAUGAUUAUUGAUUCCUCUGAAAAAGAAGUGAACUUCCAAAAUAUUAGAGGGAAAGAAAAACUUAAAUUUUGAUUAAAUUAUGGUAAUGUUAUGCUAAAAUUGUUUAUCUACUAGUAGGAAAAUAAUGGGAUUGAGAAAUAGAGAUGCUUCUAUUUAUGAAUUUGGAUUGGAUUUAUGCAGUUUGGAUAGGAAAAUAAUUGUUCUUAGCAGAUGAAUGAUCAUAGAAAUAUUUGUUUUUUGAUUAAAAUUGAUUUAUUUUUUAUAGAGCAUGUACUUUGCAUUUAAUUGAAGUCUAAAUGAAAUUGAUUUAUUUUUUAUGUACCACCUUUUAUUAAAAAAUGUCCAUAAUAUAUUUUUAUAUUAUUUCUCAAAUUUAAUAUUUAACGCGAUUGAAUUUUAGAUAUUCUUUUAUUAUACAAUAUUACCAUUUGAUAUUAAUAUGAUAAUAUCUAAUUUUUCAAGUAAACUUUGACAAAAUGGUAUUUUUUUUAAAUUCGUUAAGUUGGUUUAUUAAUAAGGUAUUGUUAACAGAUUGCAAAAAGUAAAAACAAUUAUAAAUAUACGGGAAAAUAAUGGGUCGGGCCGGGCUCGGGCUUAGUAUUUUUCCUCGGGUCGGAUCUGAACAAAAUUUUAGGCCCAUAUUUUGGGCCGGGCUCGGGCCUAGGAAGUGGUCAUAUUUUUUAGGCCCAGCCCAAAUCCGGCCCGACCUAGCCUAUGAGCACCUCUAGGUGGAAUGAAAUGAAUAUUUUAUAAGUAUUAUUAUCUUUAGUUUAGAAGAAUGAGUACUGUAAUAACAUAAAAAAAUGCUCAAAGGACAGAGAUUUCGUUUAAUAGUUUCUUUUUAGUACAACCACAUACAGUUCUCAUCCAUUUGAUUGUCUGAGACUAAUUUUAUUUGAAUUGGGAAUGAUAUUCCAAUAAUACUAUUAUCUAAUAACUUUUUAAUAAAAAUAUAUAAAAAAACUCAUAUUAAAAUACUUAAUCAGCAGUAUAUACUUUAAUAGGCAAGUUUGUAGUCUUUGGUAAUAAAAAUAAAUUCAAUUUUGAAGAAGCUGUAAGAGAGUAAAGCAAUGACUAGAAUUGCAUUGACCAUAGCAAAUAUGCUAUUGGAGUUGUUAUUGUACCCUUCUCCUUGUAUUUAUAAUACAUAUGAAAAAUUACUAUGAAUAUUUAUUUGAAUGAAUAUUUUUAGACAUUUUGAUGAAUAACGAAUUACCUUUUUUUAUAUUUUUAAAUUUAAAUUAUUUUAUUUUAUAAUUUUAAAUGAUUUUUAGCUUUUUUUUAUUUUGAUAUAUUUUAGAAAUUUUUAAUAAUCAUUAAUAAUUUUAUUUUUAAUAACUUUUAUAGCUUUUUUAGAUUAAAUUUUAUUUUUUAAUGAUAAUAUUCAAACUGAAUUUGUACAUAUAGUUGUUUAGUCAUUUGUUCAAGUUCAUUAUGAAUGUGCAAUUUUUUUAAAAAAUAAUUUUUUAAUUUUUAAAUAUAUUCUAAUGUGGAAUUUCACUUGGCAUGUCAAAUGUUAGCUUCUCAUUCCUUCUGUUAGUGUCUGUUAAUGGUCAAAUCAGUUAAUGACCUAAAUGUUUUUUUUCAUCACUAAGAAUAUGCUUGGUUAGGUGGAAAAGUGAAAAGAUGUGAGAAGGAAAGGAUAACUGAAAAAAAAAAUUCUAAAUGUGCUUGGUUAGGAAAAAGAGUGAGAAGAAAGAAAAUAUAAAAAUCAUCAUUUUGCAUCCUAAUGCAUAAAAAUCAAUCUAUAGAAACAAGGAGAUACUUGCUUUAACAAACAAAAACUAUGGCUAAAAUAGUGCUUGGAACCGCUGUCACAAUUUCAACUAUGAAAUCAAAAGUACAUAAACGUAAAUGAGAACACUGAGAUUAUUUACGUUUUGACAUCAGUCUAUGUUUGUCGGGUUUUGCCCAGAGCAAUGAUUACUAUCUUUCUCACAGUACAACUAAUUAUUUAAAUCCUAACAUUGAGCUAACUUUCACCAAUUUAGCGACCUCACCAUUGUAUAAAUAUUAUUCUCUCACUAUGUAACACCCCAAACUCGGUCUAAACGUUAUGACCGAAUCUAGCGAUGUCACAUUGUAACACCCUUUACCUGUAUUUGACGCCAGAAUAGGGUACGAGGCAUUACUAGAAGACAUACAUUUGCAUACGUAUUAAACCGAGUUACAAAAUUUUAUCCGAAUUAAAACUUUUAAAUUAUUAACGUGCUUUUAUAAUUCUUUACAACAUAUCCUCGAAAUAUUAUAUUCAUAACAAAUAGGGCCUACGAGACCCGAUAUUUACUCAUGUAAUUCAAAGCUUCAUUUCCAUUUCAUUCAAUUCACAAUUUCUCAUGUUCACAAUUCAAAUCAAUUUCUCAAUUCAAUAUAUAUAUUUCAAUCAUCUAAGAAUAUAAUUCAAGUUACACGAACUUACCAGGCUAAAUUGUAGAAAUACCAAAAUUCAGGGACAUUUUAAUAAUUUUCUAUUUUCCUCAAAUUUUCACCCAAUCUUGAUAUAAAUUAAUAUUUCAUUCAAUUUAUUAAUUUAAAUAAUAAAACAAUUCAUUUAUUGCAAUUUGGUCACUUUUUAACAUCUUUACCAAUUUACCCUUAAAAUAUUAUUUUUAUUCAAUUUAGUCCUUGAAUCUAAAACAUGCAAAUUGGCAAUUUUUGAUGAGAACUCAUGCUAAUUGAAUAAUAAUUUAUUUUCCUCCUACUCCUCUCCAUUCCACAUCCUUAAUGUAUAAUAUGCUUAUAUGUAACAUUAUCUAUAAUUCCACCAUUUAUUUAUAUAUUAAUUCAAAGCUAUCAACUUGAGUCAUAGUCACUAAAUUAUUUAUAUCUUGAGCUACGGAACUCCAAAUUAAGAUCUGCUAAAUUUCUAUGAAACUAGACUCACAUAUAUUCUUACCAUAAUAUUUGCAGAAUUUUUGGUUUAGCCAAUAAGUACAGUUUAUUCUUUAAAGAUUCCCCUAUUUCACUGUUUGACAGUUCCGACCCCUCUUCACUACAAAUUAAUUAUCUCUUUAUACAGAAUUUGGAUGAUGUUUCUGUUUGUUUCUAUUGAAAAUAAACUCAUUCAGGAUUGUAAACAUAUAAAUUUAAGCCUCUAAUUAUUUUUAUUCAAUUUUUUUAUGAUUUUCCAAUGUCAAAAAAGGGGAAUCCGAAUUCAUUCUGAUUUUGUCUCACAAAAUUUAUUAUAUCUCAUGAUUUACAAUUCCAUUACUUACACUGUUUCUUCUAUGAGAAACUAGACUUAAUAAGCUUUAAUUUCAUAUUUUAUUCAUGCUCUAAUUCAAUUUCUACAAUUUAUGGUGAUUUUUCAAAGUUAACCUACUACUGCUGUCCAAAACUAUUUUAGUGCAAAAUGUUGAUUACUAGGUGUAUAACUCCCUUAUUCCCUUUCUCUAUAAUAUUUCUCAUCACUUUCACUUAUUUCUCUUCACUAAUAUAUCAAGAACUUAAGACGUUAUAUAAGAAAACUCUACUAUAACAUUAUUUUCAUACUUUUUCAAUAAUAUCAAACUUAAAAAUAUAUUAAAAUCUUGAUGUUCUUACCUUGUACUAUUGAUUUCAAUCUUUAACUUGAUUUUCUCUCUCCUCCAGCUUCUAUUUCUUGAAUCUAACUUGAUAUUCUAGCUCCUCAUUGCCUCAUUAUCAAUUUAAUCUCUUGGUGGCUGUUGACACCAUUUUUUUUGGAUAAAAAUGGGGUCGACUUGGAUUUUGAAAACGAAAAUGAAAACGGGAGUUGCCACCAAUCCUUUUUGAUAAGGUGUGAUCGGAUCACCUUGAAAAGUGGUUGUUUUUAAUAAACGAUUUGAUUUUUUUUGAUAAGGUGUGAUCGGAUCACCUUGAAAAGUGGUUGUUUUUAAUAAACGAUUUGAUUUUAUUAAAACAACGAUUUUAGUCCACGAAAUUCAGAAAAACGAGUUCGGGAGUCGGUUACAUACGAGGAAGGAUUAGCACACUCGUAACGCCCAAAAAUUGGUGCCUAGUUGAUUAGUUAAUGUCUUAGUGUCGAAGAUAGAAAACUUUAAAGAAAUUUAAAGAAAUUUACGGGAAAAGGACAUAUUUUACGUUAAUCGAGAAAGAAAAUUAUAUCCAGUAAGUUAGGAUACAAUGUCUUGAAUUCCCGAUGCACGAAUGAAUACCAAAAAUUUACUUAUUUAAAAGAUAUUCAGCUAUAUCGGAUUAAAAAAGGGAUCGUGCCCAGUAAGUUAGGACACGGUCUUUUCUUAAUUCCCGAGAUCAUUUAAAACUUGAGUUUGAAAAGAUUCAUGUAUUUAGAUUUAUUGUGAAAAUCGAAACCCAGUAAGUUAGGGUACGACCUUCUCAAAUCUCAAAAUACGAAAUGCUACUCAUUUUAAAACUACAAUUUAUGAAUCGGAUAAAAUUAAUUUAACACGAAAUGAUAAAAGACACGAUGUUAAUAUGUAUUGCGAAAAAAAAAUAUGUAUAUGAAUUAUAAAAUAUAGAAAAUACGUAAGAAAAAUAUGAAUUUUUGAAAUAUAAAUAAUAGGUAUAAGUAUGUGUAUAUGUAAAUAAAAAACACGUAUGUAUAUAUAUAAAUUAUGAAAUACAACAAUAUAAAAGUAUAAAUAUGUACACAUAUAUAUAAAUAAAUAAAAUAAGUAUAUAUGUAUAUGUAUAUAUAUUAUAAAGCAUAAACAUAAGUAUAUAUAUAAAUAAAAAUUAUAGGCGUAUAUAUAUAUUAUAAGAAUGUAUGAUGGAUAUAGACAUAUAUAUGUAUGUAUAACAAACGUAUGUAUGUAUAUAGGUUAUAAAAAUAUGUUUAUAAAGAGAUAUUUAUAUAUAUAAUAAGAUAUAAAGAUAUAUAUAAAUAGUUUUGAUAGUAAUAAUAAUAGGACAAAUAUAUUUAAAUUUAAAUAAGUAAAUUAAAAAAAAUAUGUAUAACAGUAAUAAUAUAAAACUAAUGGCAUAAUAAUAGUAAUCGUAAAAAUAUACAUAUAUAUAAAUAAGUAUAAUAAUAAAAAAGAUAAUAAUAAUAAUACUAUAUUAAUGAUAUAAUAUAAUAGUAGUAAUAAGACUAAAAUAGCUAGUUUAAUAAUAAAGCAGCUGAAAUAACAAAAGGGGGGAUUAAAUUGAACAUAAACAAAAUCUUAGAGGCGAAAUGAAAAAAAAACAAAGAAAUAGGAAGAAGCGUGACGCGCGUGAAAGGAGGGGGACCAAAGUGGGAAAUAUCCCAAUCCACAAAACGCAGCACUGUAAUGCGGACUAAAAUGAAAUCGACAAGAAAAUAAGCGGCUCAAUUUAAAGAAGCAACAGAAAUUGGAUUGAACCAAGGUGCAAAAGUGGAGGACCUGGCGCGCAAAUAGUCCUCCCCAUACCAAAACGCUCGGAUCUAGCCGCGGUUGGAUCGGGUCAUCAGGUACAGGCCUCAUACGACACCGUUUUAGAGCCACUAAAGCAAGCUCUAUAUGGCGUCGUUUAAUCCCCUUUUAAAAUCAACUCAGAAAACCCUAAGCCCUAUCCAUCUUUAAACAAUACUCAGAAACAGAACUGGAGGCACCUAAGAGUGCCGUUUUGGCGCAAAACCUUCCCCUUUCUCUCCGAUCCGAGUAGAGGAGAUGAUGGCUUCGAUGGUGCACCAGUCCAGGUAAGGUUGCUUCUCAUUUUUUUUAUAUAUAUUCUUAUAUACAUAUAUAUACAUAAAUAAUAAAAAGAGAAAGACAGGAACAAAUCAUAAAAAACGGAAUGAAAAAAGAGAAAAAAACCUUCUGUUCAAAGAUUUUCUAUUUUAUUGAUUUAGCAAUAUUUUUUCAAUCGAAUUCCCCUAUUGAUUACAUUUCUUCAUGGCUUUUAUAGCCUAAAAAUCUGUUCUAUUCUAUUUUAUUUUUAUCAUUUCUGUCUAACAUUGCUACUGUUGUUGCUGUUGUUUUCAUCUUUUCUUGCAGGUAUCCUUUUCAGCCUUCUUUUGCAGUCGAUGGCGGUCAACGGAGGCAAGUAUUUUCCGUUUUGGUGCAAGGCGC